UGAAAAAGGUUGAAUUUCAAUGACUUUUGUUUUGCUUGAAAUGUCAGAAAGAGGUAAUUUUUUUUCCUGUAUGAUAUUAUGAUUUAAACUUUACAAGUUAAGGAGUGUGUGUGUGUGUGUGUGUGUGUGUGUGUUUAUGUAGGAAAUAGAUUUCUCACCAAAUCUAAUCACCCCUCCUUCUUUGACCACAUCCUCUGCCCUUCAU
rnacentral:sRNA from 1 species